AAAUAUGAAAGGGGAGGGGAGAUGAGGCAUUUUAUUUACAAAUAUGUUUCGUUCAUGAGGGAAGAUAUUUUAAAAUUAGUUUACUUUUUAUCCUUCUAAUUUUAGCAAAAGACCGAUGAUAUAUACCGUUUAUAAUUCAAAUAUAAAUUCAUUGACAAAAGAUAGAUAUUCAAUUAGAGAACAUCAUAUAAAUUUUUAUA
rnacentral:lncRNA from 1 species